GCGGGAGUGGUGGAACGGUAGACACGCAGGAUUUAGGUUCCUGUGCCGCAAGGCGUGAGGGUUCGAGUCCCUCCUUCCGCA
rnacentral:tRNA from 2 species